UGCCGCGGCUGUCAUCCACCGGGUACGGGAGCGAGAGUCGCAGCCGGUAGUCGGGCUUCCUUGAGUCAAGGCAUAGCAGCUUCCCCGUCACCUCCAGCGCCGCCUGCUCGGCCGAUCGCAGCAACGGCAGCUCGAUGAUGAGAAGAUGAGACCUGAAAAGUUACCUCACCAAAGUCACACAGUCGAUGCACCACCCAGCAGUCACAAACUGACUCUACAGAAAUAUAUAUAAGAAACUAUUAAUCAUGAUUUCAGGAUUACGAAGUAGAGGUAUGUUUUCUUUCUCUAUUUUAUACUUUUAAGCAUUGUUUGAAAUUUUUAUCAUGUAUUUGUGCUUUUAUUUAAAUAAAUUUGUUAAUUACAAAAAGUAAAAAAAGGUUGAGUGUCAAGAUUAUAUUCUCUAACGAGAACCUGGAGGUAUUUGGUUACUGUUCUUAACUGGUGGGAAACAAAAUACAAUUAAUGGAGAAAUCACAUGUUAGGAUGCCUGCAUCUAAGGGAAACUGUUAAAGAUGCACAUUUCUGGGUACUACAACUGGAGAGACAUUUAAUAACGCUGGGGUGGGAUCUUGUAAUGUAACACUUUUAACAUGGACCUCAGAGGAUUCUCAUGCAUGUGGUCUAUAGGACACCCCCUGAAAACUACUACCCACUGGGUAAUUAUUCUUUUUUCCUCAGGAUCUCCCGACACCAACAAUUCUUUCCUACCAAUUUAAGGCAGAUUACCUGGGAUUUGAGUGGCUCAGCUGGUAAAGAAUCCGCCUGCAAUACGGGAGACCUGGGAUUGACCCCUGGGUUUGGAAGAUCCCCUGAAGAAGGGAAAGGCUACCCCCCUCGGCGCCCCCCCCCCCCCAAGUAUUCUGGCCUGGAGAAUUCCAUGGACUAUAUAGUCCAUGGGGUCUCAAAGAGUCAGACUUGGUUGAGGGACUUUCACAUGUGGAAGGCAAGCCUGCCCUUUCGGAAUAAUAACCUCAUCACAAAUCAGCCUGUAAAAGAACUAGCCCAGCCCCACAGCCAAUCUGAGAUUUCCCGCAGAAAACAGUUCUUGGUCUGUUUCAUACAAAUGUGCCAUCAAGUACAUACAAUUCUGUGUCACACAGCAUGAACACAGUAAGUUCAGCCUAGAACAUUACCAAUGAGCUACUAUAGUCAUUUUUAAAAACCUCAGCACACCUUCAGAACAUCUGAUUUUUAGCAGUAUUAUGCCAAGAGACAGCUGUUUAUGAAGGCACACUUACCUAUCUUCUACUAUCUUAUUGGAAGGAUAAAAAACUUUGAAUGAAAAUCCACUUCUUGGAAAAGAGCCCUUUGGAGAGAAAAAUGCCCAUCAGUGAAUACUCAACUUUUGAAAAAAAAGAACCCCUAUUUUUAAAAUCAAAUUCCUUGCUCGUGGCUUAAAGAUGAAGGUACAAGAUGUGACUAUAAAGUAAUGAGACAAAUUUCUGCAUGCUCUUUAUAGAGCAAAAAUAUUACUAUAAAGUAUCUCCACUAGAAGGAAAAAGUAAAGUUGACCAGAAUAGUCAUGCUAAAAAAAUGUGGCCAGAAAUGCUUAGGAGUGGGUCUACUUGGUAUAAGAAAUAAGCAGUACUGAAUGAUGCUUAGUAAGCAUAUAAGACACUCAAACAUCAUGUUCGAGAAAUCUUUCCUGCCGCUCUCCCCAGUGAAAAUCUGGGAUUGAUGCCCCGCCAUGGUCCCCUCAAUGCAACAGAGCAGGGUCACAUAUACAACUGUCCAUUACUAAACUAAAUAAAGCAGACUCUUGUCUUUUCA